rnacentral:rRNA from 1 species
GAUGAACGCUAGCUACAGGCUUAACACAUGCAAGUCGAGGGGCAGCGCAGUGUAGCAAUACAUGGGCGGCGACCGGCGCACGGGUGCGUAACGCGUAUCCAACCUUCCCGUUACUCAGGGAUAGCCUUCCGAAAGGGAGAUUAAUACAAGAUGGUAUUCAAAUUUCGCAUGUUAUUUGAAUUAAAGAUUUAUCGGUAACGGAUGGGGAUGCGUGACAUUAGGUAGAUGGCGGGGUAACGGCCCACCAUGCCCACGAUGUCUAGGGGUUCUGAGAGGAAGGUCCCCCACACUGGAACUGAGACACGGUCCAGACUCCUACGGGAGGCAGCAGUGAGGAAUAUUGGUCAAUGGCCGGAAGGCUGAACCAGCCAAGUAGCGUGAAGGAUGAAGGUUCUAUGGAUUGUAAACUUCUUUUAUACGGGAAUAAAACCACCUACGUGUAGGUGCUUGUAUGUACCGUAUGAAUAAGCAUCGGCUAACUCCGUG